rnacentral:siRNA from 1 species
GGGCCCAUAGCUCAGUGGUAGAGC